GUGUCAGCCGCCGCGGUAAUACGUAGGGGGCAAGCGUUAUCCGGAUUCAUUGGGCGUAAAGAGCGCGUAGGCGGCUUGUUAAGUCAGAUGUGAAAUCUGGGGGCUCAACCCGCAGCGUGCAUCUGAAACUGACAGGCUUGAGUCUGGUAGAGGAAAGUGGAAUUCCUAGUGUAGCGGUGAAAUGCGCAGAUAUUAGGAGGAACACCAGUGGCGAAGGCGGCUUUCUGGGCCACGACUGACGCUGAGGCGCGAAAGCUAGGGGAGCAAACAGGAUUAGAAACCCUUGUAGUCC
rnacentral:rRNA from 1 species